AAAUUGAAGAGUUUGAUCAUGGCUCAGAUUGAACGCUGGCGGCAGGCCUAACACAUGCAAGUCGAGCGGCAGCGGGAAAGUAGCUUGCUACUUUUGCCGGCGAGCGGCGGACGGGUGAGUAAUGCCUGGGAAAUUGCCCAGUCGAGGGGGAUAACAGUUGGAAACGACUGCUAAUACCGCAUACGCCCUACGGGGGAAAGCAGGGGACCUUCGGGCCUUGCGCGAUUGGAUAUGCCCAGGUGG
rnacentral:rRNA from 2 species